rnacentral:snoRNA from 1 species
ACCCUGCAGUUCCCUUUCCCAUCAGAUCAAAACACUGAUCUGGGUGGUCAUAAAGAAGGAAAAGAAACAGUGAAACGGCCCCUCAGUGCUGUCAUAGCUCAGGCUAGUUACAAAAAGGA